AUUGAACGCUGGCGGCAUGCUUUACACAUGCAAGUCGGACGGCAGCGGGGUAGUGCUUGCACUACUGCCGGCGAGUGGCGAACGGGUGAGUAAUAUAUUGGAACGUACCGAGUAAUGGGGGAUAACCAAUCGAAAGAUUGGCUAAUACCGCAUACGCUCUGAGGAGGAAAGCAGGGGACCUUCGGGCCUUGCGUUAUUCGAGCGGCCAAUAUCUGAUUAGCUAGUUGGUGGGGUAAGGGCCUACCAAGGCGACGAUCAGUAGCGGGUCUGAGAGGAUGAUCCGCCACACUGGGACUGAGACACGGCCCAGACUCCUACGGGAGGCAGCAGUGGGGAAUUUUGGACAAUGGGCGCAAGCCUGAUCCAGCCAUGCCGCGUGCCUGAAGAAGGCCUUCGGGUUGUAAAGGACUUUUGUUAGGGAAGAAAAAGGAGCGGUUAAUACCCGUUUCUGCUGACGGUACCUAAAGAAUAAGCACCGGCUAACUACGUG
rnacentral:rRNA from 1 species